GCCGAAGUGGUGAAAUUGGUAGACACGCAGCGUUCAGGGCGCUGUGGGAGCAAUCCCAUGAGAGUUCAAAUCUCUCCUUCGGCA
rnacentral:tRNA from 2 species